rnacentral:lncRNA from 1 species
UCCUUGGUUUGUGUUCAGCUAUACUUUGCCUAGGAUGUCCACGAAUUAGAAUGAACCGGUUGCACUCUCUUCGAUAACAAGACUGUCUAUCUAAAGCUUGGCCGUUGGAUACCGUUGUAUCACGACUUCUGAUGCAUGAGAUCGAGUGAAUUGGACAGCUAAAAGCCAGUAUUCAACAAUUGAACCGUGCGUGUUGAUGAUACAGCCUUCCCUCGUCUCAUCGAUAUUCUGUCGCUCCUCGUACCGAGUAGGGGCCUAGAAGACAGUCGGAGCCGAUUAAUAUAUGCAGAAAAAAAAAAUACAUAUUAUCCUUGCAAGUGAGCUAUGUGUUAAUGUACAAGUAUCCAACACGGUCCGGUCUUCGACGCCUUUUUCUUUCCUGUAUAGAUUGCGGGAAAAUAUUUCAUCCAUCAGCCACCUGUCUAGUAGAAUCAACGACGCGCUGGUCUCGGAACCAGCCACAAGAAUGAAUCCAGCGUCCAUGAAAAAGAAUCCAACGCUCCGAAAAACACAAGCCGUGGGAGGGCGGUAUAAAAUGAUAAAAGUAAAUGGAGAGGACAAAAAGCAGUAACCUCUAUGCUAUGUCGUCUAGAAUGAUGACGCAAACCGAACACCGAAGAAGAGAGACUUUAUGCGGGCAUGUUGUUGUAAAAUGGCAGUAUAGAAAAAGAGGAUGGGAUGGAGGUCGAUCGGAGGGAGAGAAGUCGAUAUCGCGUUAGUGAAGGGAAAGAGGAAUAAAUUAAGCAAAAGCUUUUUGUUCUGAAGGAGGAGGAGGAGGAAGCUAGAAAUUGAUCACUUGUUAGUCUCAACAUGCGUCACGUGAUCGGUGGGUUCAUCAUACCUCAAGCUUUGUGUUAUCAGCCAUCAUGCGCUGGAAACCAAUACCGACACCCUCAAUGACAGC